rnacentral:lncRNA from 1 species
GAUGUCCCUGGUGUCCCCAAUGUCCCUGCUGUGUCCCCAAUACCCCAAUGUCCUGCUGUCCCCAAGGAUGUCCCUCACUUGGUGACGGGCAUGCGGUGCCAGGCGUUGCUCAGGACCCCGCGCAGGUUCCAGAUGUCCCCAAUGACCCCAAUGUCCUUGCUGUGUCCCCAAUGUCCUGGUGUCCCCAAGGAUGUCCCUCACCCUCGGUGUUGGGUUGUACCUCUGAUGUCCCCAAUACCCCAAUACCCCAAUGUCCUGCUGUCCCUCACUUGGUGGCAGUGACACUGACCCGGUGCCAGGCGUUGCUGAGGACCCCGCUCAGGUUCCAGAUGUCCCCAAUGACCCCAAUGUCCCUGCUGUGUCCCCAAUACCCCAAUGUCCUGCUGUCCCCAAGGAUGUCCCUCACUUGGUGACGGUGAUGGGCACGCGGUGCCAGGCAUUGCUGAGGACCCUGUGCAGGUUCCAGAUGGGCCCCACGUUGUCAGGUUGUACCUCUGAUGUCCCCAAUGUUCCCAAAGCCCCAAUACCCCAAUGUUCUGCUGUCCCUCACUUGGUGACGGUGACGGGCACGCGG